rnacentral:rRNA from 1 species
GACAGAGGGUGCAAACGUUGCUCGGAAUCACCGGGCGUAAAGGGCGUGUAGGCGGGAAAGUAAGUCGGGCGUGAAAUCCCUAGGCUCAACCUAGGAACUGCACUCGAAAACUACUUUUCUUGAGUGCCGGAGAGGAAAGCGGAAUUCCUGGUGUAGAGGUGAAAUUCGUAGAUAUCAGGAGGAACACCAGUGGCGAAGGCGGCUUUCUGGACGGUAACUGACGCUGAGACGCGAAAAGCGUGGGGGAGCAAACAGG